rfam:Trichinella papuae scaffold108s, whole genome shotgun sequence.
CCAACGGCCCUCCUGAGGGCCACAACUUUUACAAAUUCUAUUAUUG